rnacentral:lncRNA from 1 species
AUGACUAUCACAAGUCUUAGGACUUAAGUGCACAAAAUAAAAGUUUUAGGACUCAAAUGCCUCUAUCAUAACAAGUUUCAAGACUCCUGUUGUAAUGUCCCCCAAAAACUAUGUAUACGAAAAAAUAGUACAAUUACAUAAAUGAAUAAACACUAUAUGAGGGGAUAACAAAAUGAAAAUUCUAAUUCCUACAUUAAUGAUACCAAAUAACAGGAACUUAAGUCGUACCCGGGUCAUUACUGCUAUUCCCAGCAGGGUUAGAUGGCGAAGCAUUAGGUAUGGUAUUCUGAGACUUUGUCUCCAUUGUCAGCAUCUUCAAAGAUAUCUUCCUUAAAUAAUCGGACUAAAAGGGAAAGGAAGCAGAAAUCACUUCAUCACUUAAUCAAAUUGGAAAGAAAAUGAAGCAUAUAUAAAACCUUAGCACAAUAUUACAGCAAUGAGUAAACCUAAUUUCCCUGGGGCAAAGCUAAACGUAAAUAUUUAACAGUUCCGGUUACUAUAUGGAUGCAUGCAUGAAUGAUAAAAAUUCUCAACAAAUUAUGCAAACAAAAGAACGCUUCUCUUAAUUCUAAGCACAAGCCUAUCCAGUUUGUUUAUGCAUCCUCUAUCCACAUAGAAAUUUUGUACCAAUUAAUCACAAAAGGCAUGGACAUCAUAUAAUACCUGGCUUGUUGCAGCAGUGUAAAUUUUUUCCUCAAAUCGCACGGCAAUUUUCUUGAGUUCUUGCAAACCCUCUGGACCAGAAACAGGAAGGUGUCUCUUCAAGGUCUCCAUUCUGCAUAUCAAAAGAGAUUUGCACUUGAGACGAAAUUCUUCUUACCAAUAAUUUUUUCUUUCCUCGACGAUAAAUAAGAUUUCACUAAGAAGGUACCAAAGGGGUGGCACCCCUGACAGAAUGGCUUUAGGUAGAAGCCACCCAUAAACAAAUUCAUGGACAAAAGACUUUUUUUAACAUUUCCAACAAACUAGACAUAUGAAACCGGACUUUCCUGCUACCAAAAGUGAGGAGUGUACAACCAAUUAUCCCUAAAAAGAAUCCCACAAGUAUUCAAUUCCUUGAAAUGCCCUUUUGUUCCUCUCUCUCUCUCCAAAUGAGCCUAAAAAAAGGAGAAAUGGUGAUCACUCUCUUUCCGAGCCACAAACUGAAAGCCCCUCUCCAAGCCCAAAUUUCAUGUCGCAAUGUUCACUCCCAAUAUUGCAAAAACUGCAGCCCAGAAUCUUUCUGGUGCAGGUACAAUGUCAAAUUGAGUGAUUCACGCUCUCUUCUUCAGUCGUUGCACAAAAAACACCCAUUAGCCUGUACUUUCCCCUCCUCUGAGCAUUAUUUAAAGUAAGAAUACAUCCCCAAGCAUCUCAAGCAAAAAACGAAGCAUUCAAUGGGACCUUGACUUUCCAAAUAGAUGUACAUGGGAAAAGUGUACUCUGUCGUAAUAGCAUCUGAGUAGAAGGAGAUCAGAACAAUAGCAUUUGACAGAAAAAGUUCCCAGAGUCACAGCAAUUCCACGUAGCCCAUCGUCCUCAAAUCUAACCUCGCUUGAUAAGACAACCCAAAAAAAUUCAAGAAGCUUCAUGCUUCUAAUCUAGAGCACUACGCAAGAUAUUAAUCUCCCACGUCGUUUCUCCCAAAAAUCAUCCACCCUAGCUCUCUUGUUUCUUUCUAGUGCAUACCCAUCCAGGAAUAACUGUUUGAACGCAGUGCCUCCACAGCAUAUGUCAUCCCAUGACAUAGUACUCCUACUAUUCCCCAACUCAAAUAGAAAGUCUGCUUUUGAAAGCAUCCCAUCCUUGCUCAAUGUCGAAUCCAUGUGCUCCUCAACUAGAUUUAGUCAUCUAAUCUGUAUCUUUGAAACCAAGUACCCUCCUCCAGUUCUAGUUUUCUCCCCAUUAAAUCAACACAACCAUUUCCCAAGCAAAGCUUCAUAUACAAGAACCAACGACUUUACCCCAACCCCUCAUUAACACCUCAUUGCCCACAUACCUCUUCCAGUAACAGCUUAUACAGACCAAUAAAUCUGAGAUCAAUACAAGAUAAUACAACCUACAAGCAAUGAGACGCUUAAAAUUCCUCAGGUUCCGGAUACAUGAAUUUUUGUUACCAGCAUAACAGGAAAUCAUCCUGCAACUGAUUUCCUCCCAAACCUUACCUCUACACUUAAGAAAGAAUUACAUCCAAAAUACAAUAACAAGAGUGGCCCCCCCUACAUACCUGCCAAAUCCCACAUCGCAACCUAACCCAAACUAUCUAACCAAAUAGAAUUUACAGCGAAAGAUUCCUCAGAAUUCACGUUGGGCCUCGACCAAUUAACAGGACCAUAUUGCAAAACCAUUACUUCCUUUAACAUACUAAACCCUCGGAAAUCACUCCUAAGCAAGGAUCCCUCAUGAACUCCACACUUCUCCCUGCAAACCGAUGAGACAUUAAAAGACCCAAGCGAAGGAAGGAGGCACUCACAUCGUUUUGACGACCCUAUCCCGCGAUUCGAGCGGCAACUCAGCCCUCCAAUCGCCCCCGUCGAGCUCAGCUUCAGUGCCCCCGCCUCCCACACCGGCCGGCGGCGUCGGCCUCCAGUCAUUGUUAUCCAUCAUUAUCACUCCUCAACGAAACCCAACACUCGCAAGGGCCUUAUACAAGCAACAAAAACCCACAAUCAGCACACACCCACCCGAACGCAGAUUCAGGAACCCAAGAAAGAACCCUCCACCCACGUCCUCCCAAAAAGCCCUAGGAAACCCAAAAACAAGAGUCGAUGAAAAGCACGAAAGAUCACUCUUUGGCCGAAAUGCGAAGGGGGGGGGGAGAGCGAGGGAAGGGACGCAAGUCGAGAUGAUUGGGCGAGAGGAACCCAAAAAGCAAGGCUGGCUUGUCUGUUCUCUCUGGUUCCUUAUUUUCUUCGCCUGAGGGAAGGUGGAUUUGAUUUGGACCUCCUCGUCCGAAAACGGGUCGGACCGGGUCACGGGUAAUGGAUCGGGUUCUAGGUCGCCCUAGGCCAGACCAAUACUUUUUUGAAAAAUUGACUUCAUUUCCAACAUUUAUUCCAAAAUUUCUCCUUAACUAAUAGUCCUAAUUGUGAAUUUAAGCUCCAACAUCGAUUCUUUUUUAGCAUAAUGUGGUGGGGGUCUUUGGCUCUAGCUAAAGUUUCUCUAAAUGCUACUUAACUGAAGCCUGAAGCCGCUCAUGCUUCAAUUGAGCAAUUAAUCCACGGAUUCUACAUUAAUUAAGAAAAUAUGCUUCAAUUGAGCAAUUAACCCAUAGAUACUUUAGAAUGAUCACUUAAAAGUAGCGACAACUUUCAAACUUAGUGUCUAAUCUAGAAAUGACCAUAGUGAUCCUAAGAAUAUUAAAAUUAAGCCAAUAAUACUUGUUCUUCCUCAAGAUUAUGAAAAAAAAAAAUUGUUCCACUUUUCACUUAUGGCCCAAUUCACUUUACUCUUAAAAAGUAGCAAUUUUUCAUUGCCCAUGGAACCCACUUCUCUUUUUAAUUCUAGAAAAUAUAAUAAUCAUUCGAACAAUUGUUCAGCAAACCUUCUUAAUCUUAUCAAGAGAGAGAAAAUAAGUGUACACGUACAUGGCGUGCUUGAGAUCUUGUCGUUAUUUAAUUUUCUUUAAAUUGUUGUCAUAAGCCAAUAUCAAACCAUUAUCAAAAAUCAAUUAUGGCAGAAAUUCUCCAGUUCAGUCUCAUCACAAUGAAUAACCAUAGGAUUGAAUAAAGGACAUGUUUUUUUUACUUACAAGAGCCUUUUCUUAUAGCCUUCCAUUCUAAAUUUCAAAAUAUAAAAGAAUCUCUAUAAUGACCAUAAAAGUAACACAUUCAUAUAGUUGGAAAUGAAAGUCAAAUAUAAAACACUACAAAAGGAAACGAAGAACAGGCAUAAGCCAAUUUCUAAUCACCUAUUUAUUGAAUAAACAUUGAACCUACCUAACUUUCAAAACAUAAACAAUAAUAUUGUUAUAGAGGCAAAAAAUUAAAAAAGGACUCCUUGGCUGAUUUAAAAGCAUCCUCGAUACCUCUUCCCCUUGGAAAAGGCAAAUAAGAAGAGAGAGAGAGAGAAACUUUCAAAACAUAAACAAUAAUAUUGUUAUAGAGGCAAGGCGAAAAAUUAAAAAAGGACUCCUUGGCUGAUUUAAAAGCAUCGUCGAUACUUCUUCCCCUUGGAAAAAGGCAAAUAAGAGAGAGAGAGAGAGAGAGAGAGAGAGAGAGAGAGAGAGAGAGAGAGAGAGAGAGAGAGAGAGAGAAGAAGAAGAAGAAGAAGAAGAAGAAGAAGCCCUCAGGCUUCGCCAGCCCUCAAGCUUCGCUAGCCCCUUCUUUUCGAAUCAAGUAACAAAAUCUAUGGUGAUAAAGUCAUUACUAAUAGCUCGAAAACUUUCUUAUAAUCUUGCACCGCUUGCACUUGUCGACAAAAAGCAAACACAAACACUACAAUUAGGGUCUCCCGGUACUCACAGAAAAUCGGGUGCCUUGCGCAGCUCUCUCUUGUUUAUUUUGUUAUUCAUUUUUUUCCGAACUUUUACUUUAUACGUGAUUUAUUGAAUUUAUAUUUAUGGAGAUUACAUAAAAAUAUACACUCUUAUCCAUUUCAUAAUCCAUUUAUUCAUGCAUCCAUAAUUUGCACUUGCAUGGAUUAUCGUACAUUUAAAGCAAAGUCCAACUCUUUGACUGAGCUUUUCCCUACUCUUUUAAGCUCAAAAUUUGCGUGAUGUGAGUUGAGCAGCAGAUCCACCAUCUGCACCAUAUUUGACUCAAAAUAUUUUCAAAGAACAUAAAUCACUUGUUAAAGUGUGAGAGGGUUAUUUUGAUCAUUAAUACUGAGAAGGUUAUUAUGGUCAUUAAGUGUUAUUUAAUUAAUAUUAAAGUGUGAGGAGUGGCAAACACUAAUCAAUGUGUAUGCUCUCUUCUUUUGUUCUAUAUCAAUUUCUACAUGGUAUCAAAGCCAUAGUAAAGAUAAAAAUAAAAAAUCUAGUCAUUGCAAAUUUAGAUCUAACAUUGGCAAGUGUCGUCCAACCUAAUUUGGAACCGCCCAGCCUUGUUGAGUCUAGAUUUGACAGUGGGGAGCAUUGUUGGCUUAGAUCCAGCGUUGCCUAAUCUCGUCUAGCCCAAAUCCGGUGUCAUCUAGCAUCGCAUGUUCUCGUUCAUCCUAGAUGUAACAUCGAAAACCAAGAUCUUAUGCCGAUCGAGCACGUCCAUCCCUUCGAGUUGAUUUAAACUCUGUGGUUGCUAAUCUAAGUUCUUUGGUCCUCUAGGAUUCGUUUGCAUAAUUGUUGUUCUCUAUGUUCUUUAAAAGAAGAAGAAGAAGUAGCAACAACUUGCUUGAUGGGGUUGCUUGCCCUGUUCACCUCGAAAUUGAUGUUGGAUAAGGAGGUUUUUGUUUGGGCAUAAUUUGUAGUUUUAUUGUAUGUUUUCAUGAAACAUAUGAAUUUGAUUGAAGUGUGGUAGAGCUUUGAACUAUUUGAAACAAAUCAUGAUAGUUUGUUGAAUUGAAUUAUGGUUGGUGGAAUAUGAGUUUGAUUAUUGUGUUGAAAAUUAUUGUGUUAUAUUUGUACACAUUGGGUGGUUAUGGUAGAGAAUAAAGGUGCAGUGGCUGAAAUUAUGUCUACAUCCUCUAGUUGACAAAGAAGAAUUUAGAAUUUCAACAAUGGAGGAAAAUCGUGUUGUUAGUAUUGAUUGGGAGAGAGCAACAAAAUCAUCUAACAAGUAAUAGGUCUACCUCUUAUACAAACUAUGAAUGCCAAAAUUCUUGAUCAAAUGUUGAACUCCAUGGAAUCCCAAGUUGCAAAUUUGGUUACAAAUUUAUGCAAUGAAGGAGCUGUGGAACUACUUGAAUUUUCUUUAUUCUAGGCAAAAUAAUCUUUAAGGAUUUAUAAAGUAUCCCAUGAAUUGUGUGGGGUUAAUAGAAAGGGCCGGCCACUAACCUAGUAUUUUGCUUAUUUUAAACGUAUAUAUGAGGAGCUUAAUUCUCUGCCAUCCAUUACCUCUAAUGCAAGAACAACGAGAGCAAUUGGCUAUUAUGGGUCUUUGGGAGGACUAGGACCAAAAUAUGAUGUAGUCCAUUCCCAAAUAGUUGGACACUCAUUGAGACGUUUGCUGGACCUCAUGUAAACCACAUAAGAGUGCAUUCUUCAUAGGUGAUAGCUCGUUGACAGGCCAAGGAAAUUAUAGUAGUGGUCGAGGUCAUAGUGGUGGCCAAGGUUUUGGUAGAGGCCAACCACCCUCAUAUAGUAAUACUUAUAGUGGCACAUAAGGUAAUAUCGAAUUUAUCUGGACUUGUCAUUACUAUGGUUUACGUUAACACAUUCAAAGAUUCUGUUAUAAGCUUCACAGAAGGCUGCCUCAACUAGAUGCAGCUAAUGUAGCCGAUGCAAUAGAAUCUAGUACCUCUAUCAGCCCUCUAAAGCAGGAAGGUUAUUAGAAUGACGAAGAAGGAAUUUGCUAGGUACAAUUAUUUCUAGAUUUCUAAGCUAGUUUCAUGGUCCUCCUCCAUUGGUCCAGAUAGGUAAUACAACAACAUGCCUUUCUUCUGCCUCUUGCCUCUGAGUUAUUGAUUCAGGUUCUACCAAUCAUAUGACUGGAGUUUCAAGUAUCUUUUCUAACUUUCACGAGGCUAUGUCCAAUAUGAUAUUAGCUAGUGAUUUAUUAUUCAUAAUAAAUUGGAUAGACACAAUUCUCCUAACAUCCUCCAUAUAUUUAUCUUUAGUCAUGUAUCUCCCAAAUUUUCCAUUUAAUUUUAUGUAUGUCAAUCAUCCUACCAAAACAUACAAUUGUUCAAUAACUUUACAUCUUGAUUCUUGUGUUUUUCAGGACUUGAAGACGAGGAAGAUGAUUACUAAAGGACAGGGGGCUAUACUUAUUUGAUGAUAAUACCGAUGUUGCUUGUUUUGCGGCUUCCCCACAUCAAAUCCAUUGUUGUUUGGCCCACCUCUCAUUGGAAAGUUUAGAGAAGUUAGAUCCUAGUUUCAUUCUUUAUCCAGUCUUGAGUGUGAAUCAUGUCGGUUUGGCAAAUUGCAUCUUAUCAGUUAUUGUCCAAGAGUCAAUAAAUAGACUUCCCAAUCGUCUGUGUUAGUUCAUUUUGAUAUAUGGGGUUUAUGUUCUAUGUUGACACCUAAAUUUUUGCAUAAAUUACCCAAAAAGAGAAAAAUAAAUAAGAAAUAAAAUAAAAUUACAUAGCAAGGAAUUUUAGGCGCAUCUUACUCUGAUAAGGAAUAAAGAUUUGAUAUAUUCAAAUUAUAUACACCAAGGGGUAUAUUUCGCAGAAAAUUAGAAGAUUUCGAUGGAAUAUUUUAGACGCAAUACAUAUUUGGCGUUAAUCUUCGGGUAAUAUGCAUUUUUGACAUAAUAAAAGAAAUAUCAGAUCUUUCAAUCGUCGAUGGGCGUGAACAAAGGAAAGAAAAUGAAAUAAAAUAUUCCACCGUGACCUCUCGAAAUCUAAUCGAAAAGAAAAUUUUAUUUCUUUCAUACGUGGACUCAAUUUCGUUGCAUAUAAAAAGGGGGCUUUUCUCAGUUUCUAGGUUAAAAAAAUUCAAUACGAAAAAAAGAAUUUUUUCUUUCUUGAGGCUUUUCCUGAGGACUUUUCCUUCGGUUUCUCUUGAGUAGAAAAGUCAACAAAAGAGAAAAAAGGAAAAGAGGGCAGAGAGAAGAGACGUGACAAGCCAGCAGAAAAAAAGAAAAGGAAAAAAGAAGAAAAGCAGAGGACUGUUCGUCUUCUUCGCUGCCCUCGCCGACCCCCUGCGCCGCCUCGCCUGCUGCGCCAGCCACCGCCGCAACGACCUGCAGCAACCCACGGAGCCGCCGCCGUCCCGUCUGCUGCCGGAUCCCUCCAUCGCCCGCGAGCCGGCGUCGCUGCUGCUGUCCAGAGGCCGCGACGCUGCUGCAGCCAUCGUCUCCGCCCGCGCCUGCACCUCCGCCCCGGCGUCCCUUGCUGCCCGAGCUACCGGCCACCAUCUAGCCAGCGCCUCCUCCGCCCGCCUCGCCUGCUGCGCCUCCGCCGCUCGAUCCUCCGCGACGCCACCGCUACCUCUGCAGCCGCGAGCACCCGCAGCAACCUUCGACUCCGCCCGACAACAUGCUUCUCUGCCACAGCCCGUCGUCGACGCCGUAGCAGCUCCCCUCAUCCGCGAGCUCGCACCGCCCAGCAGCCAGCAGCCCGCGACCCCGCGCCCGACUCCGCUGCCAACGCCAGCGUCCGAGCUCCGCCCGCGACCCAGCAGUCCGACGACCUUGCCUCAGACUGCCCUGCGCUCGCCGCGCCUCACCCGCGCCUGCACCAGCUCCCGACGCCCUCUCCGCCUGCUGCCCAAGCGCCGCUCUUCUUUGGUCGUCAGCUGUCGACGCCUCCUUUGCCGUUCAUCGCCGCUGGUCGCAGCGCGAGCGCCACCCAGCAGCCCGCGCCCGACUCCUCCGCCGCCCCACCGUCCCCGACCCCGGGCGAAUCGUCGGUCGCAAAUCCCGCGCACCGGCCCCUUUUCUUUUUCUUUUUCUUUUUAAAUAAAAAUCAGUCAAGGUAGUUUAUUUUAUUAUUUUUUAUCUUUUAUUUUUUGUCAGGUUUAGUUGUUAUUGCUCAAAUUGAAACAUUGGAUGUGGACGUUCAUUUUAUAAAUAUUUUAGGCAUUAUCCGUAGGAUUUUGCCCAAAAUUAUUGUAAUUAUUAAUGUGAUCCGUAGGACAUCGAAGCUUAUUUUUUUUAAUUAUAUUGAUUUUGGGGCAUUUCGAUAGUAUUUUAAUUCUUGAAUCAUUAUAAUUAUUAAUUUAAUUCGUAAGAUUUCGAAUUAAAUUUUUAAUUAUUUUAAAUAUUUGUAUAUGUUGUGAUGUUUAUGGUUAAAAUAAUCGUUAAUUUAAUUUAUGAGAUAAUGGAUUAUUUUUUCGAUUAUUUUAAUCAUUCAUUUGAUGAAUAUCUUGAUUAGUUUAGAUAUAAUGUUUAUCUGAUAAUUGCUUCUCUUGAAAAACACUAAAUCCUUUUUUAAAAAGAUAAUCAAAUCUUGCAUCGAAAUAUGUUGGUUUCAUAAAUUAGGAUUACACAUAGAUUAAAGUUAUAUUUAAAUAAUUUUUUUUAUAAAUAGGGUCUUAGAUAAUGUUUGUACAUUUUAAUAAUCUCUUUUCUAAAAAAAAAUGGUUUUUAAAGAUAGGAUAGGGUUUAAGUCAAAUUAAUUCCUAAACUAAAUUAGAUAACCAUUCAUUUUGUAUAGUUUAAUUAGGGUUUUUAUUAAUUCAGAUUUUUAAUGAAAAAUAUAUAUAAAUAUUAUGUGCAUGUCAAUUAAUUUGCACGUUCAUUUAAUUAGAAAUAGCUUGUUAGUAAAAUUAGGUCACGUAGUUAAAGUGUAUGUUUUAUGGCAAAGUUAUAAUUUCAAGAUAAAAGAAAACCCAAAAAAAUUGCUUACUUUGUGCGUUUAAAAUUUUUUAUGCAAUUUAUUUGAUUUGUUGAGUGUUUAAUAAUGAUUGAGCAUCUGUAUGAUCUUCCAAUCGCAUUAUAGUAUUUGAGGUUAAAAUAAAUCCAAACUGCCUGCAAAGAGCAAAGAAAAGUCUAGUAUAACCAAGUCAUCGUAUCCAAAGUUUUUGGUUCAUAAGAGUAUGAUAAUUUUCUCAUUAUUUUAUUUAGGUGACUAAUCGACCUAUCAUGAACUGAUUAGUAGCAACUCCUAGUUAAAAUUCAUUUACAUGAUAAAAAAUUUGAAAUUAAGUCGCGAAUUGAUAUGGACUUAGGAAAGUCCGAUCUAAGUCUAGGCUUAGCAAUCCAUUAGCCAAACCCCUAGGUGAUCCAGCCUGCUUCCGGGAGGUUGCAACAUUAUAUUUUUUCGAAGUUGGGUUUAAAGUACUUUGUUACAAAAUACAUACUCAAUUUUCAAUUCAUGUUUGUAUUCUUCGAAGUGAUAAUGCCAAAUAUAUGUCUAAUCUUUUUUUUUUGGUAUUUUAAUCUUUAAAAAAAAAAAUUCAUGACCCAAUGGGCAUCCAUCAUCAAUCUUCCUAUUCGAAGUUAAUCGAUCAUUGAUGUUUGAAAUGAAGGCAGACAAAUCCUUUUAGGUUGACACUAUGAUGAUUGCAUGUUAUCUUAUCAACUACACACCAUCUCUAUUCUUAAGGCUGCAACUGCACACUCUUCUUUUUUCUUCUAAAUCCUCUUUUCAUCUACCACUUCGUAUAUUUGGUUAUGUUUGCCAUAUUUGUGACAAUUAUCCAAGGCUUUCCAAACUAGGCCCUCAGUCUCUUAAAUGCAUUUUUGUGGGAUAUUAUCGUAUGCAUAAAGGUUACCACUGUUAUUGUUCUUCUUUGCAUAUGUUUCCUUCUUAGAGUCUAAUAUUUAUUCUGAUGAAUGAAUGGAACCUUCUAUAGUGGAUGAUGAUUUCUUUACAUAUGUUAUUGUGAAAUCCACUUUGGAUUCUGCACCAAUUCCUCUACUAGUCCAACAUGUAUAUGCUAAUCGUCCUCAUUAGCAUAUGAGUCAUUUGCAGAUGUACCUUUGCCUAUUUUGUCUCCUUCAUCCUUUAAGCCUGAGAUAAGUUUGCUAUUGCACAUCGCAAAGGAGUUCGUAGUUGUACCCACCACCCUAUUACACAGUUUGUCUCCCGUUCUAGUAUGUUUACCUCUUUUCAAACUAGUCAAGUCACUUGUCUCCCGUUCUAGUAUGUUUACCUCUUUUCAAACUAGUCAAGUCACCAUUCAUAAUCCUAUUCCUAAAACUAUUGCGUAGUAGACCAAAAUCAAACUCGGGUUCUUAUUCCUUUACUUACAAGGAAGACUGUUAUUGGAUAUAAAAUGGUGUUUACUGUCAAGCUUAAUAUUUGUGGUUCCCUUGCUUGCCUUAAGGCUAGAUUUCUAAAGGUUAUGCACAAGUUUAUGAGGUCAAUUAUGGUGAUACUUUUCCUCCAAUGGCUAAGAUGACAUCUGUUCGCCUUUUGCUUUCUUUAGCUACUAUUACUUUUUGACCUAUUUUUUAGCUUGAUGUUAAAAAUGCCAAUCUUCAUGGUUAUUUACACGAAAAGGUGUAUAUGGAGAUGUCUACCAUUUGAAGACAUCUUUAUAUGGUUUCAAACGAUCUCUCAUAGCUUGGUUUGGAAGGUUUACUGAGGUGGUGCUCCUGUUUAAAUUUAGUGGAGAUCUUUUUAUGUUUUACAGUUUUUUCUGGAGUUAGUUGGAUAUUGCUUGUAGUUUUUGUAGGUGAUAUUAUCACAAGUGGAGAUGAUUUUACAAAGACUUGUAUUUGCAACAAUUGUUUCAGACAAAGAAUUUGGGACAACAUAGAUAUUUUUUGGGUAUCGAAGAGGCACAUACAAUGAAAAGUAUUCACAUAUCAUAUCACAAGUAUGUUUUAGAUUUGCUUAAAAAGAUAACAAUGUUAGGACUUAAACCGCUAGAUACACCAAUUAUGAGAUUGGUAGAGGACGACAAGUUUUAGAUGAUCCUGAAAGGUAUCGAAGACUUGUUGGAAAAUUAAAUUAUGAGAUUGCACUCAACCUAAUAUUUCCUUUCAUAUGAGUGUUUGAAGUCAGUUUGUGUUUCCCCCCAUAUCUCUCGUGGAGAUGAUGUAGUCAAAAUUUUAAAAUACUUGAAGAAAGCUCCAAGUCGUGGUAUUUUCUAUAGUGAUCAUAGUCACAAAAGGGUGGAAGCAUCUUUGGAUGUUGAUUGGACCGAGUCUCCUACAAAUAGGAGGUCUACAUCAAAUUAUUGCACCUUUGUAGGAGGAAACCUAGUGUCUUAGAAGAGUACAAAGCAAAGUAUUGUGACUAUAUCUAGUGCAUAAUCAGAAUAUAGAUUUACGGCCUAAGUUACUUGUGAGUUAGUCCACAUGCGUCAAUUAUUAGUUGAACUUGAAUUUAAAGAUUCUAUGCUAAUGGAAUUGUGGUGUGAUUAUUAGGCAAUUAUCCAUAUAUUGCUUCAAAUUCUGUAUUCCAUGAGUGUACUAAGCAUAUUGAAAUUGAUUGUCACUUUGUCCACGAGAAGCUUUAAGCUGGAGUUAUUUCUACUAUUCAUGUUAGGAUUAAUGAACAAAUAGUUGAUAUUUUCACUAAGUCUUUAGGCAUGAUAUUUUCACUAAGUCUUUAGGCAGUAGUAAAGUUGAGUAUAUUUGUAACAAGCUAAGCAUGCUUAAUAUUUCUACUACAGCCUGAGAGAGAGUGUUAAAUUAUAAGAGGAUUAUUAUAAUCAUCUAGGAUACACAUGAUAACAAUUCUGUUUCUUUGUUUUUCUAUCUUUCUAUUUCCGGAAACAAGUUUGGAAUAAAAAUUGUGUUUAUCCAUUUGAUAAUGUAAUUUCAUUUUUCUAUUUCUAAAAUAAAUUUUUACUCCAGAAAUAGGUUGGAAAAAAAUAAAAAGUGAAAACUUUAUAUAUUUUUAUUUAUUUUUAAAACAAAAUUGAGAAAUAAAAACUCUUCUCGAUUGCCGUAAGUUGUCUCGCCAAUUGCCUGCCACCACCCCACUCAUCAUUGCUCGCCUCCGGUCGUCAUUGCUCGCCUGCCUCUCAUCACCACUCAAGAAGAAGAAAUUUUGCAUUAUUAUUAAACAAAUUUCUAUUCUAAAAAUAUAAAUUAUAUAGUUGUAAAAUACAUACUUUUGCUCAGAAAUAAAAGGCAAAAUUUGGUAACAUUUCUAUUCCUCUAUUUUUAUAUUCUUUCGUUCCCCAGACAAAGUUCACUUCAAGCUCUUAUUUAAAAAAAUUAAUGGCAUUUCGGAUCCUUAUUUAAAGCAAUGUCCACUUCAAGCUAUUUUUAUAUUCUUUUGUUUUUAUAUCUUUCUAUUUCCGGAAACAAGUUUGGAAUAAAAAUUGUGUUUAUCCAUUUGAUAAUGUAAUUUCAUUUUUCUAUUUCUAAAAUAAAUUUUUACUCCAGAAAUAGGUUGGAAAAAAAUAAAAAGUGAAAACUUUAUAUAUUUUUAUUUAUUUUUAAAACAAAAUUGAGAAAUAAAAACUCUUCUCGAUUGCCGUAAGUUGUCUCGCCAGUUGCCUGCCACCACCCCCCUCAUCAUUGCUCGCCUCCGGUUGUCAUUGCUCGCCUGCCUCUCAUCACCACUCAAGAAGAAGAAAUUUUGCAUUAUUAUUAAACAAAUUUCUAUUCUAAAAAUAUAAAUUUUAUAGUUGUAAAAUACAUACUUUUGCUCAGAAAUAAAAGGCAAAAUUUGGUAACAUUUCUAUUCCUCUAUUUUUAUAUUCUUUUGUUCCCCAAACAAAAUCCGCUUGCAUUUCGGAUCCUUAUUUAAAGCAAUGUCCACUUUAAGCCCUUAGUUAAGAAAAUGAUGACACUUGGAGCCCUUAUCAAAAAAACUAUGUCUAAAUAGAAAUUGUUCCCGUUAACAUAAAUGUUAUCAAAUACCACCGAAAUGGCCAGAAAUAAAUUUCUAACAGAAUGUUAAUCAUUCGACCCUAAGUCUUAUUAAACUAAUAAUAAAAGUGCGAGUGGCAAACAUUAAUCAGUUUGUAUGCUCUCCUCUUUUGUCCUCUAUCAAUUUCUACACUAAGAAAGAAGAAAAACUUUAAUAUAGUAGAUGACAACUACUAAUAACAGCAGCACCCAAGCUGCAUUCCGGAGUUGGAUGUUGGAACGCCUUUGAUGAGUCUGGAGUUGCGAAGGAAGCUGCUGCUUAACCUGCUGUAGCUGCUGCUGCAGAAGCUGUUGUUUGAGUUGCUGCUGCAUUUGAGGUUGCUGAUAUUGUUGCUUAAGCUGCUGUGUCUGUAGCAUCUGUACUCACAAUAAAUAUCUAAAUAAAGCUCGACUCUUAUAUCCAACUAGACCGCAUCAGUGUCAUUUAUGCAUAAGCCAAGUAUGAAGAAUAAUAAAGAUUAGCAACUUGCACAAAGCUACAGUUUCAUCAGAAUGCCAACCACCACCUGGAUAACAUUAAAAAAAGCAAGUAAAACAGGAAAAGGAGAUUGGCCGACACGGACAAAAUGAUGGCAAUUUCUUUUCUACAUUAAGACAUCAAUGGCUUCAUCUUUUAUUACUCCUUAAUAAAGGAAAAACAGCAAUCUUAACGCAACACAGAAACAUUCUUAAGUAAACACGAUUCAGUAGUUAAAUGACUUCUCUUUCCAUUUCAUAAAACUACUCUUUCCCUCUUCAUAAUGUUGUGAGAAAAAGGGGAAUGCCGAUCAGAAAGCACUCUGUGGCAACUUCUCAUGCUUAACUUACAGAUUAAUAGCAGCAUUAUCGAUACCUGAUCCUCACAACAUAUAAGCUUGGCUAGACAUUGCAGUUUUUAAUAACAAGAAUUGUUAGAUAAAUGUUAAUGCGACUGGCCUGGAGUCACUACAUAAUUAGAAAUUCACCUUUGGUGGAGGGAUUCCUAGGUUUACAAGCCAUAAGCACCUGUCCAUACUACACUACGUAAAGAAUUGGCUAACGAAAUUCCACUCAAGGGCUUUCAAAUUUCUCUGAUUUAAAUUCCUGUCACCAAAAUGUAUGAUGUUAUACAAAUUCUAGCAAGGGAAUUGGCUCCUGUUCAGCAGUUAUUAUUGUCAUACUGGUUAGUGCACAAGGCCACAUUACUAUCCCCAAAUUAUAGUUCAUUAUGCAACUUCCCCACAUUCUAAUACUUUGGACAAAAGAUUAUGCUGUCGACAUUCUGUUGCCAAAUACCCAUUUCUGUCUCACAGCUAUAUUUGCUAUCGAGUCAAUAUCCAAACCAAUAUCUCAUGUGAAUGAAUUCCUUUCCCAGGCUAGACCUCAUAAAACUACUAAUACUCUUAUCUGUGCCUUUGUACAUUUGUAUCCUACUAAACCAUAUAUGUAAAGUCUAGCAAGAAAGGUCAGUCAUCAACAAACUAUUAAAACCAGUAGAAAAAUAUGAGAAGUAUCACACAUAAUACCUGCAUUCCAUAAAAUUUAAUGAAUAAAACAAAACAGUGGUACAAAACCUUUUGGUAAGCCUCCUCUUGCCAGUCACCCCCGGCCGAAUGCCCCAUUUGGGCAGAGCUAUCAGUAGACACUACAAAAGUAGAAGAAUAACUCUUCGUGGACUGUGUUGACUGUGGAACUGAAGACUGUUGAUUUUGUUGGAGACCAGCUAGAGGAGCUGGUUGCAUUGAUGGCGGCUGCAUGACAGAAGAUGUUUGGAGGACAGACUGCUGAGAAGCCUGCAGCUGAGUCGGCUGUAGCAUAUUCUGUUGCUGCUGUUGCUGCUGCUGUUGUUGGAAUUGAGAUGACAUGAGCGAAUGUGGGACUGGCUGAAGCUUCUGCUUCAAAAGCUGCUGUUGGUAUUGCUGCUGCUGGUAAAUAUACUGCUGUGAAUUCUGAGACUGUUCUUGUUGCUGUAGGGAAACCAUCUGUUGCCUAGCUUGAAGUUGCUGAGAAUUUACGAACAUGUUGCUAUUGACACCUUGGCCCAUUGAGUUCCCCAGUGAGUUCUGAGAAACACUAGGCAUAUUUUGCAUGUUGUUGUUUUGUCCAAUAGUAUUCGGGAUGGAAGAUUGGUUCAAGCCAGAGACAGAUGGCAAUGUAGACGAUAGACUGGCUGAAGCCUGAACUCCAGAUGGAACAUUAUUCUGAAUAUUCUGAACCAAUAACUGUUGACGUGCUUGAGGCUGAUUCACAGCUAAGGAAUUAGGAAUUGAUUGACUUUGAUUUUGAAUUUGUGACUGCAUAACUUGAGAUGACAUACAAUAUAUACAAGUCAUGUUAGUCAAUCAAGAAACCAACCAAUUCAGUACAGCGGCAUUAACUACAAAUAGCACGAAGAGACAAUGAAUGAGAGAUAAAUGCACCGCAAGUACGACCUUAGACCAUUAUGUAUUCCAACUUGAAAUUUUCUGAGCAAGUGAUACUGGAUGAUAAUGGACAUGCAAACACAGACAAACAAUGACCACUCAUUUUCUUUUCAACAAAUACUAAAUAAAAGUCUUUGUGAAAUUUAUGUACUUGAAUUGAUCUUGAAAUUUACAAAAAUAAAUAAAUAAAGGACAAAGGUAAUCAUCUUUUCAAGCACACAUCUUCUGAUGCCAUAGGAGACUCACUUUAACAAAGAAGAAAGAUAAAAUUUGAGGCCAAAAAAGUGGGAGGAAGUUACAAAAGAUGCAAGCAGUUGUCCCUUUCUAGUAAAACUUAAGUCUUGCUGCCACUCUUUGAAAAACUUGCUCUUCACAAAUGCAAAUCUAAUUCUACUGACGAAACAAACUGAUUUUUAGUUCUUUAAUCAAUAUAUUACAAAUUUAAAAGGGAUAUUCAAAUGUGCCACUGCCCAUGGUAUAAACGUGCAUUUGAGGUUACAAAUGAGCAAGAUUGGAAAAAAUUUAUUAAAUUCAGGUUACUACAAUGAAAAUCCACAAGCAGCAUGGCUUGUAGUGAGUAUACAUGUGUACUGUGUAAAGCCCAGUAAAAGCAACAACAGGGCAAGUCCUAAAAUGUGUUAUGCUAAUGCACUUAAGUCCUAAAUUUUCAUUUUGUGCAUUUAAGCAUAAAACUUGUAAAUGUCGAUGCCCUUUAGUCAUUCCAUUAACUCCGUCAAUUUUAAGUCGGAUGGAAGAUUUCACAUGGCUUUCUUUUACGGUUUUCUUAAGCCAAAGUGGCUGUUGAUAUUAUAAAAAAAAAAAGGCCACCUAGAUUUUCUGCCCACUAAAACCUAAUGGAGCCAACAGAGCUAACAGAAGACCUAAAGUAAAUGACUAUCACAAGUCUUAGGACUUAAGUGCACAAAAUCAAAGUUUUAGGACUCAAAUGCCUCUAUCAUAACAAGUUUCAAGACUCCUGUUGUAAUGUCCCCCAAAAACUAUGUAUAUGAAAAAAUAGUACAAUUACAUAAAUGAAUAAACACUAUAGCUUUCUGGUUUCUAGUCAAUAUAUUUCUUACCUUUACCAAAAAAAUAAAAAAAUAAACACUAUAUAAGGGGAUAACGAAACGAAAAUUAUAAUUCCUACAUUAAUGAUACCAAAUAACAGGAACUUAAGUCGUACCCGGGUCAUUACUGCUAUUCCCAGCAGGGUUAGAUGGCAAAGCAUUAGGUAUGGUAUUCUGAGACUUUGUCUCCAUUGUCAGCAUCUUCAAACAUAUUUUCCUUAAAUAAUCGGACUAAAAGGGAAAGGAAGCAGAAAUCAUUUCAUCACUUAAUCAAAUUGGAAAGAAAAUGAAGCAUAUAUAAAACCUUAGCACAAUAUUACAGCAAUGAGUAAACCUAAUUUCCCUGGGGCAAAGCUAAACGUAAAUAUUUAACAGUUCCAGUUACUAUAUGGAUGCAUGCAUGAAUGAUAAAAAUUCUCAACAAAUUAUGCAAAUAAAAGAACGCUUCUCUUAAUUUUAAGCACAAGCCUAUCCAGUUUGUUUAUGCAUCCUCUAUCCACAUAGAAACUUCGUACCAAUUAAUCACAAAAGGCAUGGACAUCAU